AUUGAACGCUGGCGGCAUGCCUUACACAUGCAAGUCGAACGGCAGCACGGGUGCUUGCCCCUGGUGGCGAGUGGCGAACGGGUGAGUAAUACAUCGGAACAUGUCCUGUAGUGGGGGAUAGCCCGGCGAAAGCCGGAUUAAUACCGCAUACGAUCUACGGAUGAAAGCGGGGGACCUUCGGGCCUCGCGCUAUAGGGUUGGCCGAUGGCUGAUUAGCUAGUUGGUGGGGUAAAGGCCUACCAAGGCGACGAUCAGUAGCUGGUCUGAGAGGACGACCAGCCACACUGGGACUGAGACACGGCCCAGACUCCUACGGGAGCCAGCAGUGGGGAAUUUUGGACAAUGGGCGAAAGCCUGAUCCAGCAAUGCCGCGUGUGUGAAGAAGGCCUUCGGGUUGUAAAGCACUUUUGUCCGGAAAGAAAUCCUUGGCCCUAAUACGGUCGGGGGAUGACGGUACCGGAAGAAUAAGCACCGGCUAACUACGUG
rnacentral:rRNA from 1 species